rnacentral:tRNA from 1 species
AAGUUUAGGUUAAACAAACCAAAGACCUUCAAAGUCUAAAAUAAGCCCGUAUCACUUAACUUCU